rnacentral:rRNA from 1 species
UACGUAGGAUGCAAGCGUUGUCCGGAAUUAUUGGGCGUAAAGAGUUCGUAGGCGGUUGCCUAAGUCUGGUGUUAAAUACAGGAGCUCAACUCCUGCAUGGCACUGGAAACUGGGCAGCUAGAGUGUGGUAGAGGUCACGGGAAUUCCAGGUGUAGCGGUGAAAUGCGUAGAUAUCUGGAGGAACACCAGUGGCGAAAGCGCGUGACUGGGCCACAACUGACGCUGAGGAACGAAAGCGUGGGGAGCAAACAGG